UUGGUGUCACUCGGCACGGCCUGGUCUGUGCACGGAACGGCCAGGCAGCAUGAUAGCUGAUUCCAAAAAAAAAACCGACCGUCCUUCUCACUCCAUUGUUCAACAGGAACUGAUGCUAUUUUUCACACAGACAUUUUUUUGAAACGGAUCGGGAAAGCGUGGAGUUGCGCGCGCAGUGCUUGUCAUCUUGCUCGUCACCCCUGCACCAAUAACUCACUCGAUGCGGCCGAACGACGAACGUGGCGUCCACCAGGCCAACGGAGAGGAUGACGGAAAUAUCGGAACACCCACAGCCACUGGUCUGCGUGGACCCUACUUCGAACCCUUGGCUUCCAAAAACGUAACAGCACUGGUCGGCAAAACAGCGUACCUCAACUGCCGAGUCCGUAACCUUGGAAACAAGACGCGCUGUGAGCAGUGAGGCUGUAUGAAAUCCACGGAACGAAGGAGGCUAGAAUAUUUCUGGGUACUUAUUUGCUUACAGCUAUGAAACAGAACAGUAAAUAAACAUUUUGCGAUGCCACUG